rnacentral:lncRNA from 1 species
UUAAUUAACCAUACCUCCACUCGCUAAUCCCCCAUAGGGGGAUUAGUUCCUCAUGGAUAUGAUAAAAAAUAUAAAAUUGAUAAAGAGAAUAAACAUAAAAAGUAAUUCAAGAUAAUAGAGUUUAGAAGAAGUCUAAUUUGUAUUAAAAUUAAGCGCAGAAUCCUCACAGAGUUUGACAAUAUUUCCUAAAUCUGAUUUCCCCACAAAAGUAAAAAAAAAAAGAACGGAAAUAAAAUAUAAACCCUAAGAAAAGAGAAAAACUAAAGACUAAAUCUAAAGAGAAAAUCAUACAAGAUAAAAAGGUGUCCAUCACAUUUGUUAAACAAGCCUAUUUAUAGACUUUAGAGUGACCGUCAUUAUUAACCCUAGGUCAGCUACCGUCCCCG